rnacentral:rRNA from 1 species
AAUCAACGCUGGCGGCGUGCCUAACACAUGCAAGUCGAACGAGAAAGUGGAGCAAUCCAUGAGUAAAGUGGCGCACGGGUGAGUAACACGUGACUAACCUACCCAGGAGUGGGGAUAACUGAGGGAAACCUUAGCUAAUACCGCAUAACACCUACGGGUCAAAGGAGCAAUUCGCUUCGUGGAGGGAGUCGCGGCCGAUUAGUUAGUGCAGGGUAUGGCCUACAAGACGAUGAUCGGUAUCCGGCCUGAGAGGGCGCACGGACACACUGGAACUGAAACACGGUCCAGACUCCUACGGGAGGCAGCAGUGGGGAAUUUUGCGCAAUGGGGGAAACCCUGACGCAGCAACGCC